GGAGGGGAUGGUGUCUGUGGAGUGGGAAGGUGAACAGUGCACACGGCAGGAGGAGGGGAUGGUGUCUGUGGAGUGGGAAGGUGAACAGUGCACACAGCAGGAGGAGGGGAUGGUGUCUGUGGAGUGGGAAGGUGAACAGUGCACACGGCAGGAGGAGGGGAUGGUGUCUGUGGAGUGGGAAGGUGAACAGUGCACACAGCAGGAGGAGGGGAUGGUGUCUGUGGAGUGGGAAGGUGAACAGUGCACACGGCAGGAGGAGGGGAUGGUGUCUGUGGAGUGGGAAGGUGAACAGUGCACACAGCAGGAGGAGGGGAUGGUGUCUGUGGAGUGGGAAGGUGAACAGUGCACACAGCAGGAGGAGGGAGCUUGGUGUCUGUGGAGUGGGAAGGUGAACAGUGCACACAGCAGGAGGAGGGGAUGGUGUCUGUGGAGUGGGAAGGUGAACAGUGCACACAGCAGG